GGUAGGAUACUCAAGUGGCCAACGAGGGCGGACUGUAAAUCCGCCGGCUUACGCCUUCCUCGGUUCGAAUCCGAGUCCUACCACCA
rnacentral:tRNA from 2 species